UUACAUCUCUUGAGACUCUACAUAUCUGGCUUUGCGAGAAUCUCAAGUAUCUACCUACACUAAAUGCUAUGAAAGGCCUCACCAAAUUGAAGAAGCUCUACAUUGAGGGAUGUCCCCUGCUCAAGGAAAGAUGCACCAAGGAGACUGGCCCAGAAUGGCUCAAGAUUUCUCACAUCCCAGAACUUGACUUGUGGUGAAGCUACGGAAUGCCUGCCAUACUAAACUAGAAUGCCUGGUCACAUUUCAAGAGGAAAAUGUAUUAUCGAUUGAUUUCAUUCAAGUUACAAGGUUAAUCAAUUCCUAUUUGCCAGAGAUUUAUCCCUAAAGCAGGGUUCUAUCAUACUUAAUGGGAAGAUCAGAUGAAGCUGAGUGGUUGAAGAUCCAGUCACAGUAGUUCAAUCACCUCUCCCAUAGUCCCAUGUGUUAAUUCAGCAGCAGAUAUGAGAAUGAGAAGUAUCCACCUCAAGUGGCAGCUAUGCAAACAAAAGAUGCACUGAGGACAACCGACAUGAGUGGCUGACUUCUUAUUUUCCAAGGGUCUGCAUUGAAGCAUUAACACCUCCCUAAAGUAGCACAGUUGUAACACCUUCCUGGGGUUCAAGUUUCAGGGGAAACAUGUGCAUUGAGUGUUUGAAAUUUCAGUUGUGCAUGAUUACUUCCGUUCAUGUUCUAAAUGCAACCAGUUCCUAAAAUCAUGGUAAGCUUUUCAAAUCUUUACCUCUUCUUCCCUCCUGGUGUUCCUCUUUAAUUUGAUUCACAAGUUUUCAAAUGCAUUGUACUCUGCUCUGUAUGCUAUUUACUUGCUACAAUUUUUCCCGGUUGUUUUGGCAUCAUUUGUAAUUUCUCACAAGGCCUCUCUAUCCUGAUCAAAUGGAAGAACAGCUUAGCUAGACCUGGUGCGAACUAAGUUCAGAUUGUCCCAAAGAUCAAGGAAUUGGAGCAUCCAAAAUGAUCUCAGGUGGCUGCUGUUUGGUUUGGUUCUUGCGAAGGCUGGUAACUUUGCGCUAUAUUGAGAACAAACUCCAUCUGCAUCUUGGAUAAGCCAUUUAGUCAAGCAUGCAUGGUUUCUAGAAUACUGCAAGUGAAUGGUCAGAAAAAGAAAAAAAAGUGAGAUCUCAGAAUUGCCAGGAGCAUAGGAAAGCAAAAUGUCAGUUUUGAAGAUGAGUUUUGAAAAUUUGAAAUCGCCAUGUUUUUCAUAUUGCUCAGUGUUCGUAAAAGUUAAUAGACAAGGCUAACUGGAUCCAACUCUGGAUUAAUUGGCAGA